AUUGAACGCUGGCGGCAGGCCUAACACAUGCAAGUCGAACGAGUGGCGGACGGGUGAGUAAUGUCUGGGAAACUGCCUGAUGGAGGGGGAUAACUACUGGAAACGGUAGCUAAUACCGCAUACCAUCAGAUGUGCCCAGAUGGGAUUAGCUAGUCGGUGGGGUGAUGGCUCACCUAGGCGACGAUCCCUAGCUGGUCUGAGAGGAUGACCAGCCACACUGACAUGGAGGCACGGUCCGUACUCCUACGGGAGGCAGCAGUGGGGAAGAUUGCACAAUGGGCGCAAGCGUGGUGCAGCCAUGCCGCGUGUGUGAAGAAGGCCUUCGGGUUGUAAAGCACUUUCAGCGAGGGGGCGUUACUCGCAGAAGAAGCACCAGCUAACGCCGUGCCAGCAGCCGCGGUAAUUC
rnacentral:rRNA from 1 species